rnacentral:rRNA from 1 species
UAGGGAAUCUUCCACAAUGGACGCAAGUCUGAUGGAGCAACGCCGCGUGAGUGAAGAAGGCUUUCGGGUCGUAAAACUCUGUUAUUGAAGAAGAACGUGUGUGACAGUAACUGGUCAUGCAGUGACGGUAUUCAAUCAGAAAGUCACGGCUAACUACGUGCCAGCAGCCGCGGUAAUACGUAGGUGGCAAGCGUUGUCCGGAUUUAUUGGGCGUAAAGCGAGUGCAGGCGGUCUUUUAAGUCUGAUGUGAAAGCCUUCGGCUUAACCGAAGAAGGGCAUCGGAAACUGGGAGACUUGAGUGCAGAAGAGGAGAGUGGAACUCCAUGUGUAGCGGUGAAAUGCGUAGAUAUAUGGAAGAACACCAGUGGCGAAGGCGGCUCUCUGGUCUGUAACUGACGCUGAGGCUCGAAAGCGUGGGGUAGCAAACAGGAUUAG